CACUGGCUGUCAGACUGAUUUAGCUGCAUGAAUGUACUUGUCCAGGCUGAUGUGAAACCUUCCCUGUAGCAAAGCCAUCCAGUUUAGAGCUCACAGCCGCAGUGUGUCUGGUGACCCACAGGGACCAUGAUGAAAAUUCAUCUUCCAGAAGGUCCCAGAGCGUCCAGACCCCCUGAAAAGACCAAGAUGUGAGGUGUCUGCUGUUGAUUCCAGCUUCCACCUCAGUGACAGUGCAAGCUCAGUGAACUGUUCAAGCCUGGCUGAUCACCUGAUAACCCCUGUCAUCUGGUUAUGACAGCAUGAGGAUGUCCUCACACACCUGUAACCUAUCAGCUCAUCCUGCUGAAUAGAGAGAGAAGAGACCACACCACAUCUCCUGUUCCUGGAAAGCCUUCAGCCAUCCUUCGAUGACUGAGAACCUCCAUCAGCUCUGUCUCCUGUCUGCCUACAAUUAUAAUAAAUAUUGUGUUUGACAAGUUUUUUGUGCUGCCAAAUAUCUCAUUUAGAUUCGUUUUGAUAUUUUAAUGGAUAUUUAUAAAUUACAUUGAAUAUCACAUUUUUGUUGCAUGUUUAACUAGCUCUAUUGUGAUUAAUUAAGCUAGCACCUCACUGUUAAAAGCUCGUUCUAAUUUCAAGCAUGUUUAAGUAUUUAUGGACAUGAACAAAAACAGGAAAUAUAUAAAUUGAGAUUUAUUUAAUUAAUAUAACAAAUAAGGGGGAAAGAGUCAUUGAAAGGCACGUUCUUCUGAAAGUUCCUGAUCCUGAUGACACCAGCAGAGGAGACCAGCUGCAGACACCAGAGACCAGCUGCAGACACCAGAGGACCUAGAACCAAGAGAGCAGCUGUUAUCAGUAAAUAAAUAAAGAAAUCAGGGCAGUUUUAGUGGGCUGAACACAUUACAGAAUAAUUUUCUCAUGGGGUAUUUUCAUAACUUUAUAUGCAGCAGACUGUAACUUGAGCCCAGAGCUACCGGAGAGCUGCUAUCCAGCACGUUUCAGUGGUUUUCCUGCUUUAACAGGUUAGAUUAACUGUUAAGCAGCUCAGCUAUUUGUUGCUGAUUAAAACCAGGUGUGCUGAAGCAGAUAAACCUCUAAAACAUGCUGAAUACUAGCUUUUUAGGGCCGUGGAGACAAACCCUGCAGCUAAUCCAAUGCUAUGGCUAACGGCUACUUACCUUUCAGAGGUGAUUCUGUUGGGUCGGUUCUGGGAGUUUCAGGCAACUCACAAGCUCAAAACAAUAAGACUCAGGUCCGCUUGUCUCCUCCAAAUAGACUUGGUCCCUUUCUUCUCGAGUGUCUGUGUAAGGAGGGGGAGAAACGUCCUCCACUUCUAAUAACUGCUCAGAGUGAAGGGAGCUAGCUUCGUCUAGUUAGCCAUCGUCUUCGUCACUGCCGCGGCUCCGCCCUCUCGGUCCUCCAGGCAACGCCUACUAAUGUUGCUUUUUUUAAAAUUGAUAC